ensembl:snRNA U6 U6 spliceosomal RNA
UGCUUCUCUAGGCUAUAAAAUAAAAAUUGAAUCAUAAAGUGAAGAUUAGCAUUGCCCUUGCAUAAGGAUAAUACACACAUUUGUGAAGCAUUUUU